UACGGAGGGUGCGAGCGUUGUUCGGAAUUACUGGGCGUAAAGGGCGCGUAGGCGGUGACGUAAGUCAGACGUGAAAUCCUUCGGCUCAACUGAAGAACUGCGUCUGAAACUGCGUGACUAGAGUGCAGAAGAGGGAAACGGAAUUCCUGGUGUAGAGGUGAAAUUCGUAGAUAUCAGGAGGAACACCGGUGGCGAAGGCGGUUUCCUGGUCUGACACUGACGCUGAGGCGCGAAAGCGUGGGGAG
rnacentral:rRNA from 1 species